GCACGCGUAGCUCAGCUGGAUAGAGCGUCUGGCUACGGACCAGAAGGUCGCGCGUUCGAAUCGUGUCGCGUGUA
rnacentral:tRNA from 1 species